CAAUCUGACAGUAGAGUGGCGCGAAGGGUGCGUAACGCGUAAGUUAACUUGCCCAAGGUAAGGAAUAACGUCGAGAAAUCGGCGCUAAUACCUCAUAAUGCAGCGGAUCCGCAUGGAUAUGUUGUUAAAGGUUUACCGCCUUGGGAUAGGCUUGCGUCUGAUUAGCUAGUUGGUGUGGUAACGGCACACCAAGGCUACGAUCAGUAACUGGUCUGAGAGGAUGAUCAGUCACACUGGAACUGAGACACGGUCCAGACUCCUACGGGAGGCAGCAGUGAGGAAUAUUGGGCAAUGCUCGAAAGAGUGACCCAGCAACGCCGCGUGGAGGAUGAAGGUAUUCUAUAUCGUAAACUCCUGUGAGAGCAGACGAAAGACAGAUUAUUAAUCUGGAUGACUGUAUGCUCAGAGGAAGCCCCGGCUAACUACGUG
rnacentral:rRNA from 1 species